GAGAGAAACACAGAGAUAGUGGGGAAAAAGCUAGUAUUCAAAUAUGUAAUGAAUCUAAUGCAAAUCAAUUAAACAUAAAACACAAAGAAUUUGGGAUAUGAAAGAUAAAUUACAUUAUAUCCCUACAAUAUAGUCAUUUAGUUCACCAGUUCACUUUAAUAUCCCAUAAUUCAGAAAACAAAUAUCUUUAUUCAUUUGCAUUGAACUCUAUGAGAUGGCACUGUUUCAGUUGUGCAAUACUUGCAGUUAACCAUAAGAGGGCAGUAGUUACUGAAUAUUUCCUUUGACAAUACUGAAGCUUUAUUGGGUAUCCACAAGCUCCUCCUUGGAUCAUCAUUAUUAUAAUACUAAAAGUAAAAUUCUCCCACUGCUGAUUUAUCUGAACUUCAAGGAUUAUUCAGCAGUCAUGUCACACAAGUUGAGGAAAAUAUUUCUCUUCACACUCUUCAUUCUUGAGUGCAGAUCAGAGGACACAGUUGAUCAGCCAGACAAACAUGUGACUGAAGCUGAAGGAAGAUCAGUGACAUUACAGUGUAAAUAUAAAACAGAUUCAGCAGGAGAAUAUUUAUUCUGGUACAUCCAGAGAGUAAAUGACUUUCCUAAAUACAUCCUGAGGAGAAGCAAAUAUGGAGGAGAAAAUGGCACUGAGUUCCAGGAGAGAUUUCACUCUGAACUUUCAUCAAAUUUAGUUCCUCUGAAGAUCAAGGAUCUGCGUGUGUCUGACUCUGCUGUGUAUUACUGUGCUCUGAGGCCCACAGUCACAGGAAACACAUCAGAUCUAUACAAAAACCUGUUACAAUGAGAGACGAGAAAGAUCAGCUUAUUGUAAAAGUGAUCAAAUAUAAACAAAAUGUAAUCUAAAGUGAGUGAAUCUUUGGCAAUAUAAAGAUGAAACACAUUAA